rnacentral:misc_RNA from 1 species
AACGCACAUUGCGCCCCUUGGUAUUCCAUGGGGCAUGCCUGUUCGAGCGUCAUUUGUACCUUCAAGCUCUGCUUGGUGUUGGGUGUUUGUCGCGCUUUGUGCGUGGACUCGCCUUAAAUCCAUUGGCAGCCGGCAGUCUGGUGUUGGAGCGCAGCACAUUUUGCGCACUAGACCACGAAUGUCGGCGUCCAUAGGCCUACAAUUUUGCUCUUGACCUCGGAUCAGGUAGGGAUACCCGCUGAACUUAA